CACCUUGACUUUCCUCUCUACUGGUUUGAGCGUCAUCACUCCCGAAAGGCGAUCAUAGAUUUCCGGUGACCAACAAUUUUUCCUUUUUAGACCAAUUAAUUACCUUUAAGUGGUGGUGACUACGGUGAUGGCUGUCGAGUGAUGAAUGUCACUAUGGAGAAAAUGAAGGUGAUUAUGGAAGAAUAAGUGAUUGGUGAAAAGGUGAUGGAUGAGGCGGCGUUGAUGGAGAUACAAUGUACCAUUGGCCAAGGCACAUGUCCUCUAUGCUGGAUGCAGGCUAUUCAGCAGCUACAGACAGACAUGUCUGAAGCUCAGAGUAAUGUAAUGCACAUGUCGCCGCCAGGAAGGAGGUUACCUCUUGCUUAGUGAGAUCGCCGAUCAGCUACGUUAUCCCAACAGAUACACACAUUACUUUUCCUACAUCAUGUUCUAUCUGUUUGUGUCGGAGAUAGAGAGCCUUUGUUGCUAGGAAACACA